ensembl:misc_RNA Metazoa_SRP Metazoan signal recognition particle RNA
GCCAGGCAUGGUGGCUCAUGCCUGUAAUCCCAGUACUUUGGGAGGCAGAGGUGGGUGGAUCACUUGAGGUCAGGAGUUUAGGACCAGCCUGGCCAACAUGGUGAAACCCCAUCUCUG